rnacentral:rRNA from 1 species
CAAUAGCGUAUAUUAAAGUUGUUGCGGUUAAAAAGCUCGUAGUUGGAUUUCUGCUGAGAACGACCGGUCCGCCCUUUGGGUGUGUAUCUGGCUCUUUCUUGGCAUCUUCUUGGUGAACGUUGCUGCACUUGACUGUGUGGAGCGCUACCCAGGACUUUUACUUUGAGGAAAUUAGAGUGUUUCAAGCAGGCAUACGCCUUGAAUACAUUAGCAUGGAAUAAUAAGAUAGGACCUCGGUUCUAUUUUGUUGGUUUCUAGAGCUGAGGUAAUGAUUAAUAGGGAUAAUUGGGGGCAUCUGUAUCAACGCGUCAGAGGUGGAAUUCUUGGAUUGCGUUGCGACAAACUACUGCGAAAGCAUUUGCCAAGGAUGUUUUCAUUGA